AAAGCCCAAAUAAUAUAAUUAAAGCAGCACCAAAGAACUUUUCCUCUGUCGCACGCACGCUUUGUUUAUCCAACGGCUUUGUAAAUAACGAUGUCCAUACACAAGGUAGAAUUUGUUGCA